rnacentral:rRNA from 1 species
UAUUUUGCUGACGAGUGGCGGACGGGUGAGUAAUGCUUGGGAAUAUGCCUUAUGGUGGGGGACAACAGUUGGAAACGACUGCUAAUACCGCAUAAUAUCUCCGGAUCAAAGUGGGGGACCUUCGGGCCUCACGCCAUAAGAGUAGCCCAAGUGGGAUUAGCUAGUUGGUAAGGUAAUGGCUUACCAAGGCGACGAUCCCUAGUUGGUCUUAGAGGAUGACCAGCCACACUGGAACUGAGACACGGUCCAGACUCCUACGGGAGGCAGCAGUGGGGAAUAUUGCACAAUGGAGGAAACUCUGAUGCAGCCAUGCCGCGUGUGUGAAGAAGGCUUUCGGGUUGUAAAGCACUUUCAGCGAGGAGGAAAGGGUGAAUCUUAAUAGGGUUUAUCUGUGACGUUACUCGCAGAAGAAGCACCGGCUAACUCCGUGCCAGCAGCCGCGGUAAUACGGAGGGUGCGAGCGUUAAUCGGAAUUACUGGGCGUAAAGCGCGCGUAGGUGGUUAAUUAAGUCAGAUGUGAAAUCCCAGGGCUCAACCUUGGAACUGCAUUUGAAACUGGUUAACUAGAGUUUUGUAGAGGGUGGUAGAAUUUCAGGUGUAGCGGUGAAAUGCGUAGAGAUCUGAAGGAAUACCAGUGGCGAAGGCGGCCACCUGGACAAAGACUGACACUGAGGCGCGAAGGCGUGGGGAGCAAACGGGAUUAGAUACCCCGGUAGUCCACGCAGUAAACGAUGUCUAUUAGAAUUUUGUGGCUAUAUGCCGUGGGAUUCAAAGCUAACGC